rnacentral:rRNA from 1 species
ACAUACGACCAUAGCUUGUAGAAAGCACGGGAUCCCGUCCGCUCUCCCCUAGUUAACCUACAAAGCGC